rnacentral:rRNA from 1 species
UACGUAGGCAGCGAGCGUUGUUCGGAGUUACUGGGCGUAAAGCGUGCGUAGGCGGUGGACCAAGUCUGGUGUGAAAUCUCCCGGCUCAACUGGGAGGGUGCGCCGGAAACUGGUUUGCUGGAGUACCGGAGAGGCAGGCGGAAUUCCAGGUGUAGCGGUGAAAUGCGUAGAUAUCUGGAGGAACACCCGUGGUGCAGACGGCCUGCUGGACGGUGACUGACGCUGAGGCACGAAAGCGUGGGUAGCAAACAGG